GGAUGUGAGGGCGAUCUGGCUGCGACAUCUGUCAUCCCAUUGAUCGCCAGGGUUGAUUUGGCUGAUCUGGCUGGCUAGGCGGGUGUCCUCUUCCUCUCUCACCGCUCCAUGUGCAUCCCUCCCGAAGCUACACGCUCGGUUGAAGAGGACGACCAUCCCCGAUAGAGGUGGACCAUUCUUCCGUCAAGGGUAUACGAGUAGUUGCACUCCCCUGCUAGAACCUCCAAACAAGUUCUCACUUUCCCAUUCUCUGUCUGGUCAAACUAAAGGACAGUAAUAGGGACUAGCAGUUGGCGUAAUGGCUAUGU
rnacentral:snRNA from 1 species